AAUAAAUUCAAAAGAAUGAUAUAUCUGUUUUAUUUAAACUCCAAGGGUGGUCCUGGACCAGCAGCAUUACCUGGGAGGAGUACAUAGGAUCUCAGGCCCACCCUAGACCUGAGGAAUCAGAAUCUAAGGGUGGGGCUGCAUUUUGAAUAUUGCAUUUUAUCAUUAUUGUCUAAUCAGCUGACAUUGAUGAAGAACCAAGGACUCUGAAUGGUCCCUGUGUCUCAAAAUGACAACUGGACCUGAUUCAGGACUUCCCUCAUCUGUGAACUAUAGGGAUUAUUUCAACCAAUGAGCUUUUUCUAUCUGGGCAUUAAGGAUAAGAGAUUGUAGACUGCAAGUUCCUGCAAAAAAAUAAAAUUGAGUGAACUUCAAUUGGGACAGGCUGAAGGGGAAACAAAUGAACAACAGCAGUGGUAUAUGCUGCAAGAGCACAUUUAACAGAUUUCUUCCCACAAACAAACUGGAUUUGGAAUGAAAAUUGUCCGCGGCCAGACUCAGAGUCCCAACCAGGAGACCUUGCAAUAAAAAGAUGGAGAUUCAUCCACAUCGUCUUGAUGGCUGCAGUGCCACUCUUUUCAUUGCUGUGUAGGGCUCUCUUGUAUGCUCUGCCAUUUAAACCUUCUACCACGGCAGUCUUUUGGCUUCUGACUGCUCUGGGCUGCUAGGGCUAGUGCUGCUUGAAGCAUUCUGGAGUCUGUUUAACCUCUGAACACAAAAGGUAUUAUGGAAGAAAUAUGUAUUUUUUCAGUUUCACUUGUCACAAGGAAGAAAAAGCAACUACUUUCCUGUACUUUGCUAAAAAGCAUGUUUUCUACAAAGCAAUUCUAGAAGUCAAAAAGGAAAGUUUCCAUUCACUCUUUCAUUUUUUGCAUUACAGAUACAAUCUUGAGAUUAAUAAACCCCAUCUGAGCAUCCUU